rnacentral:rRNA from 1 species
GACGAACGCUGGCGGCGCGCCUAACACAUGCAAGUCGAACGGAGCUGAGAGAAGCUUGCUUUUCUUAGCUUAGUGGCGAACGGGUGAGUAACGCGUGAGUAACCUGCCCUGGAGUGGGGGACAACAGUUGGAAACGACUGCUAAUACCGCAUAAGCCCACGAUCCGGCAUCGGAUUGAGGGAAAAGGAUUUAUUCGCUUCAGGAUGGGCUCGCGUCCAAUUAGCUAGUUGGUGAGGUAACGGCCCACCAAGGCGACGAUUGGUAGCCGGACUGAGAGGUUGAACGGCCACAUUGGGACUGAGACACGGCCCAGACUCCUACGGGAGGCAGCAGUGGGGGAUAUUGCACAAUGGGGGAAACCCUGAUGCAGCGACGCCGCGUGGAGGAAGAAGGUUUUCGGAUUGUAAACUCCUGUCGUUAGGGACGAUAAUGACGGUACCUAACAAGAAAGCACCGGCUAACUACGUG